rfam:Capnocytophaga ochracea DSM 7271, complete genome.
UAUCUUUGCGCCCGAAAAAAAAUAUACAUAAUAAUCAUUAAAUUAAUAUUGGAAUG